GCAAGUCGAACGCGAAAGUCCCGCAAGGGAUUAGUAGAGUGGCAAACGGGUGAGUAACACGUGGGUGACCUGCCUUCGAGCGGGGGAUAACGUCCCGAAAGGGACGCUAAUACCGCAUGACAUCCUGCCUUUGAAGAGGUGGAGAUCAAAGCUGGGGAUCGCAAGACCUAGCACUCGAAGAGGGGCCCGCGCCUGAUUAGCUAGUUGGUGAGGUAACGGCUCACCAAGGCAACGAUCAGUAGCCGGCCUGAGAGGGCGGACGGCCACACUGGGACUGAGACACGGCCCAGACUCCUACGGGAGGCAGCAGUGGGGAAUUGUUCGCAAUGGGCGCAAGCCUGACGACGCAACGCCGCGUGGAGGACGAAGACCUUCGGGUCGUAAACUCCUUUCGAUCGAGACGAAUGGCCUCCGGGUGAACAAUCCGGAGGAGUGACGGUACCGAGAGAAGAAGCCCCGGCUAACUCCGUGCCAGCAGCCGCGGUAAUACGGGGGGGGCAAGCGUUGUUCGGAAUUACUGGGCGUAAAGGGCUCGUAGGCGGCCAACUAAGUCAGACGUGAAAUCCCGCGGCUUAACCGGGGAACUGCGUCUGAUACUGGAUGGCUUGA
rnacentral:rRNA from 1 species